rnacentral:rRNA from 1 species
AUACAGAGGGUGCAAGCGUUAUCCGGAAUCAUUGGGUUUAAAGGGUCCGCAGGCGGAUUAAUAAGUCAGUGGUGAAAUCCUCUCGCUCAACGAGAGAACUGCCAUUGAAACUGUUAGUCUUGAAUUCGGUCGAAGUAGGCGGAAUGUGUCAUGUAGCGGUGAAAUGCAUAGAUAUGACACAGAACACCGAUAGCGAAGGCAGCUUACUAGACCUGGAUUGACGCUCAUGGACGAAAGCGUGGGGAGCGAACAGGAUUAGAUACCCCAGUAGUCC